CCUACGGGGGGCAGCAGUGGGGAAUAUUGCACAAUGGGGGAAACCCUGAUGCAGCGACGCCGCGUGAGUGAAGAAGUAAUUCGGUAUGUAAAGCUCUAUUAGCAGGGAAGAAAAUGACGGUACCUGAGUAAGAAGCCCCGGGUAACUACGGGCCAGCAGCCGCGGUAAUACGUAGGGGGCAAGCGUUAUCCGGAUUUACUGGGUGUAAAGGGAGCGUAGACGGCAGUGCAAGUCUGGAGUGAAAGGCGGGGGCUCAACCCCCGGACUGCUCUGGAAACUGUACGGCUGGAGUGCAGGAGAGGUAAGUGGAAUUCCUAGUGUAGCGGUGAAAUGCGUAGAUAUUAGGAGGAACACCAGUGGCGAAGGCGGCUUACUGGACUGUAACUGACGUUGAGGCUCGAAAGCGUGGGGAGCAAACAGGAUUAGAUACCCGGGUAGUC
rnacentral:rRNA from 1 species